rnacentral:miRNA from 1 species
AUAAGAAUCACCUGGGGAGCCUGUUAAAAUGCAGAUUCUAAUACAUCAGGUCAGAGGUGAGGCCUGAAAGCCUACCUUUCUAACAAGCUCCCAGGUGACAUCUUC